rnacentral:rRNA from 1 species
UAAAGGCCUACCAAGGCGACGAUGCGUAGCCGGUCUGAGAGGACGAUCAGCCACACUGGAACUGAGACACGGUCCAGACUCCUACGGGAGGCAGCAGUGGGGAAUCUUGCACAAUGGGCGACAGCCUGAUGCAGCAAUGCCGCGUGAGGGAAGACGGCCUUCGGGUUGUAAACCUCUUUCAGUUGGGAUGAAGGUUGGCCGGUGAACAGCCGUGUCGACUGACCGUACCUUCAGAAGAAGCUCCGGCUAACUACGUG